AAAGAGUCGACUGUACCUGAAGGCAGUGCUCAGAACAGGAAGAUGUAUGCUAAUGUAUGAUCGAGGCUUGGCAGAAAAUGGCUCCAGUUUUAUGCUAAUGACAAAGCACUUACUAUUGAAAGUAGCAUUUCCAGCAGGAUAUUUCUCUAAAGAGAAGAGAACUCUCAGAUAACAUGGCUGUAGAAACAGCAAGUGCUAGUCCAGAUUUACAGGCAGGUAGACAAUUAAGUUUAGACCACUAAAUGAACUAAUUGUUAGCAUACCAUAGAUACAGUGUUUUCCUGAACAUUGUUGGAGAAGAUCCUCAUUCUUGUAAUCAGGUAGAAAAGUUAACAGCUGUCAUAAUUUCUGUUUGUGUCAAGUUUGAUUUCUUUUACAUGGCUUUAAUAGAGGUGGAGUAGACUGAAAAAUUAAUCACAAAUGUCCAUAAACACCAGAUAAGUCAGUUUAUCCAGUGAUUUGCUUUUCCUGUGUGAGAUAAAUCUACUUGCCCUGAUAACUACUUGCUGAGACUUAUACAGUGUUCUCAUUACACUGGUCCCUGCUGCUUGUUUCCAUCCUAUGUUUAGGAAAAUUACCUCGAAGUUUGUCCAUUUUACCUGUUUGUAACCAAAAGAUAUUUUGUAACUGUUCCCUAAGAAAAGCAAAGGAGGCUGUUUAGAGCAAGUACUCUUUACAGUUUUCAGGUAUCCAUGAUAUUUAUGAACAGCUUUUCUGACAGAUCUGACAGAAAAAAAAAUCUUUUGAUGGAUUCUAUUAAUCACAUGUUAUUUUAAUGUGUAGAUUAAAGUACAUAAUAAGAUGUGUAUUUAGAAGUCAUUUUAGAUAUGUUCAUGAUUCUGAAUACUGAAAAAUACUUUGAAAAGCAGUAAAUGCUUUUGUUUCAAAUCCAGCUGUUAUUUCCUGUUUAGGAACUGAGUUUUGCUGGAUUUUAACACCUUCCAAGCUGUAGUUCAUAACUGAGUGCCUGCAGCCAGUAAAGCUUAUCUCUCAAGUCAAGAAUUUAAUAUAAUAAAUACAUUCUGCUGAAACA
rnacentral:lncRNA from 14 species